AUACAUGUUAGUCGAGCGAACAGCUAAGGAGCUCGCUCCUUUGACGUUAGCGGCGGACGGGUGAGUAACACGUGGAUAACCUACCUAUAAGACUGGGAUAACUUCGGGAAACCGGAGCUAAUACCGGAUAACAUAUUGAACCGCAUGGUUCAAUAGUGAAAGGCGGCUUUGCUGUCACUUAUAGAUGGAUCCGCGCCGUAUUAGCUAGUUGGUAAGGUAACGGCUUACCAAGGCAACGAUACGUAGCCGACCUGAGAGGGUGAUCGGCCACACUGGAACUGAGACACGGUCCAGACUCCUACGGGAGGCAGCAGUAGGGAAUCUUCCGCAAUGGGCGAAAGCCUGACGGAGCAACGCCGCGUGAGUGAUGAAGGUCUUCGGAUCGUAAAACUCUGUUAUCAGGGAAGAACAAAUGUGUAAGUAACUGUGCACAUCUUGACGGUACCUGAUCAGAAAGCCACGGCUAACUACGUGCCAGCAGCCGCGGUAAUACGUAGGUGGCAAGCGUUAUCCGGAAUUAUUGGGCGUAAAGCGCGCGUAGGCGGUUUUUUAAGUCUGAUGUGAAAGCCCACGGCUCAACCGUGGAGGGUCAUUGGAAACUGGAAAACUUGAGUGCAGAAGAGGAAAGUGGAAUUCCAUGUGUAGCGGUGAAAUGCGCAGAGAUAUGGAGGAACACCAGUGGCGAAGGCGACUUUCUGGUCUGUAACUGACGCUGAUGUGCGAAAGCGUGGGGAUCAAACAGGAUUAGAUACCCUGGUAGUCCACGCCGUAAACGAUGAGUGCUAAGUGUUAGGGGGUUUCCGCCCCUUAGUGCUGCAGCUAACGCAUUAAGCACUCCGCCUGGGGAGUACGACCGCAAGGUUGAAACUCCAAAGGAAUUGACGGGGACCCGCACAAGCGGUGGAGC
rnacentral:rRNA from 1 species